UAACGGAAAUUUAACGACGUGCC
rnacentral:siRNA from 1 species